rnacentral:rRNA from 1 species
UACGAAGGGUGCAAGCGUUACUCGGAAUUACUGGGCGUAAAGCGUGCGUAGGUGGUUUUUUAAGUCCGUUGUGAAAGCCCUGGGCUCAACCUGGGAAUGGCAGUGGAUACUGGAAAGCUAGAGUGCGGUAGAGGGUAGUGGAAUUCCCGGUGUAGCAGUGAAAUGCGUAGAGAUCGGGAGGAACACCAGUGGCGAAGGCGGCACUCUGGGACGGUACUGACGCUGAGACGCGAAAGCGUGGGGAGCGAACAGG